GUGUCAGCCGCCGCGGUAAGACAGAGGGUGCAAACGUUGCUCGGAAUUACUGGGCGUAAAGCGCGUGUAGGCGGACUGGUAAGUCGGACGUGAAAUCCCUGAGCUCAACUCAGGAACUGCAUCCGAAACUAUCAGUCUGGAGUGGUGGAGAGGGAAGCAGAAUUCCUGGUGUAGAGGUGAAAUUCGUAGAUAUCAGGAGGAACACCGGUGGCGAAGGCGGCUUCCUGGACACUAACUGACGCUGAGACGCGAAAGCGUGGGGAGCAAACAGGAUUAGAUACCCGAGUAGUCC
rnacentral:rRNA from 1 species